GAGCUUUAGAGUCAUUAUGGGGCCAUAAGUCUUGGCUAGCUUAGCCAGUGACUUGUGGGGUUUGUCGCCGGGGGCAAAGAUGUUACCGACGACAGGCAGAGGGACAGGUCCAGGAGGGAUUUUGCAGGACUUUGAUUUUCUUGCUCUUGCAAUUGAGCUCCGGAACCAAAUCAAAGUCCAUGUUAGCAGUAGCAGACAAAGUGCAGAACUUGAGAAAUUC
rnacentral:misc_RNA from 1 species